GAGGCCGGGGAGGACACUCCUGUGCCCGAGGGCUCCGGCUUCUUCUGCUCACUCCCUCCUGCCGAACUUUUCCACUCGGCCAUUUACCUCCUCAGGCACUGGCUGCCCUCAUCAGGCCGACCAGGUCCUGCCCGAGGGAACGGCGUGUGUGACCCACGUGUGGACAGACCUGUUCCCCAUGCCAGGAGGGAGGGUCACUGGCUCCACCGGGGGAUGGGGGACGAGGGCACUAGGCCGAGGUGGGGGGCUUCUCGCUCUCCCCGUCUUUUCCUGGCGUUUUCCUCCAUUCCCUCUGGCUCCUAUUCCCUCCCCCUUCCUCUCUUUCUUGGGUAUGGUUGAGCAGGUCGUGCACUGCACAAGGACUCCCAGCAGAGGACGAGGACUGACAUCAAUUUGUCUUUCCCUCCCAACACUGUGCGUUCCCUAACCCUGCACGAAGGCACCCUCCUCCCCUCCUCAAGAUUCCCCACCCGGCCUGGCCUGCAGCCCUAGCCCCAAGCCGCAGCUGGGCAGGUUGGGCAGAGCACUGGGGAGGCCAGGCCCGGCCAUGCUGAGCCCGGUGACUCGUCAGGGUUUCCACAAAACAUCUUGAGCACCCAGCUGCAGGCCCCUCGGGACGUUUCCAAUGAGGCUCCCCUGGGCCCCUCUCUGUGGCAGAAGGGACCCCGGGGCUGCUUCGUAGGUCUCAACCCAGGGGAGGCCCCCAGAGACUCCGGAGCCAGGGAGGGGCCCAGCCCCCUACCCCCAGGCUGUGCUUGGCAUGCAGAGAUUGCGGGGGGUCUUGAGUUUUUGUCCCCAGAAGAAUGGCUGAGUGGACUCUGGAGAAAAGACAAACACCCCUGCCCCACUGCCGCCGCCCUGUCUCCCAACAGUAAGAGUGCUUGUCAGCCUCCUGGCGGCAGGUGCUGCGGCCUGCGACCACCUGAGCCAGGCAGGUGAUGCUAAUGCGCCUCAGGGCAGCCCUGGCACUGGAGCUGCUAUCAUCCCACUGUACCCAUGGGGAGAGCCGCUCUCCUCCCUCCUUUUUCCAUUCUGUGUUAUUUACAGAGCACCCUCCUGUAUGCCCUGCACUACUCUCAACCCUGGGUACACAGAUGGGGCUGCCACAGACGUGGCCCUCAAGGCGCUCAGGCCGCCUUUUGGGGAGGGCCGUGAGGGGCUGGAAUUUUUCUGAGACAGCCAAGCGCCCGUGCAGAGAGGCCUGUAUCAGCCCAGCCUAAGGCAGGGCCAACCCACACAGGAGCACCUGUCCUGCUGGGGAUGCAGUGGGUUCUGCUGUGUCCUGGAAAAGGCUCUACCCACACCCUAACCCAACCUGUGAACGCGCGCUCAUUUGGAAAAGGGGCUUUUGCUUUGAUGUAAUUAGGGAAAGGAUCUUGAGAUGGCUCAUCCUGGGUUAAGGCAGGUCCCACGUCCUGAGAAGGGGGGAGGGAUUAUCUUUUAGACUGGGCCCUACAUCCAACAACCAGUGUCCUUAUAAACCACAGAAGAGGAAAAGGCGGGUGCAGCAGAGAGGCCACGGGAGGAGCCGCCAGCCCGGGAAACUGAGGGCUGGAAGAGCCUCCAGGAGGACCCAGCCCUGAACACGCCCAGCUCCACGGCCUCGUGGAAUAAACUUCUCCCAUUUCACACCCCCCAGUUUGUGGUGCAUGGUUAGCACAGCCCUAGGAAACCAGCACGGAUAGUGAGCUCCCCGUCACAGGAGACUGUUAACCCUGGGGCACAGCCUCCUUCACCCCCAGAGGCCCACAGCAGACAAGCUGAGAGCCACACAGCGGCCAAGAGGAGGUGCUGGAGGGCCCAGGGGUCCCAGUGCUGCCUCAGCCCCACCCGACUUGGGAGCUUUUGUGUUCAGAGAGACUGAGGUUUUCAGCUUAGAGGACACCUCCGUGGAACACAUCUGCACCGCGGCAGGGGAGGAAAGGCUGGGGGCACACAAGCACCCUCCCUCCCGCCCUCACCCCGAAGCUGAGGGGACCAGGGCGGACAGAUUCCCCCACCUCUGAUGUGGCCAGGGGCCCUGGGGACUCCAGGACAACCCUCCUCAGGAUGACGUCAAACCCCCGGCAUUCAAACCUUCCCAAGUUCUGGCUGCAGCUGUCCCUUUCCGGGGAAACAAAGGCACCUCCAGCGCCCCCACCCCCAGCCAGCCUCACCGAUCAAGGAGGCCAAAGGCAGCUCCCGGCCCCGCUUACAUAAAGCUUCCUGUGUGUGCUGGUCACACCUCACACCUCACGCCUCACGCCUCAUGCCUCAUUCACACCUCACACCUCACUCCUCACACCUCCAACUCAGACUUUUUAGCUUGAACUUUUUUCUCAAUAAAACCACAGAAGCCCA